rnacentral:rRNA from 1 species
UACGAAGGGUGCAAGCGUUACUCGGAAUUACUGGGCGUAAAGCGUGCGUAGGUGGUUCGUUAAGUCUGUCGUGAAAGCCCCGGGCUCAACCCGGGAAGUGCAUUUGAUACUGCUUAGCUUGAAUGUUGCAGAGGAUAGUAGAAUUCCAGGUGUAGUGGUGAAAUACGUAGAUAUCUGGAGGAAUACCGGUGGCGAAGGCGGCUAUCUGGGCAAACAUUGACGCUGAGAGACGAAAGCGUGGGGAUCAAACAGG